UUUACUUGAUGAUAAACUUAACUAUCAGUUCUGCUUCUGUAACACAAGCUGAAGAUACCCCAUACCAAAGAAACUCAAAUUGUCUGACCG
rnacentral:snoRNA from 1 species